UACGAAGGGGGCUAGCGUUGUUCGGAAUCACUGGGCGUAAAGCGCACGCAGGCGGAUUGAUAAGUCAGGGGUGAAAUCCCGGAGCUCAACUUCGGAAUUGCCUUUGAUACUGUCUGUCUUGAGUCCGGGAGAGGUGAGUGGAAUUCCUAGUGUAGAGGUGAAAUUCGUAGAUAUUAGGAAGAACACCAGUGGCGAAGGCGGCUCACUGGCCCGGUACUGACGCUGAGGAGCGAAAGCCAGGGGAGCAAACGGG
rnacentral:rRNA from 1 species